ACAGAGAAUAAAUUUCACAUGUUAACAUAGAAUUCUUACAUAAAAAUUUUGAUAGAAUUCCAAAAUCCAAUUGAAGUUUCAAAGACUUCUAGAAGUCUCAAAACUUGUAGAAUACCAAAUUUUAACAUGGAAACUAAUUAAAUUACUUUCAUUUCCAACGCUAAUGACUCUACAUAAGUAUGACUCUUAAAUAAAGAAAAACUUAUUACAAAUUCUGAUAUAUAUUUUUUAUUUUGACAAAUUAUUCAAAUGAUCUGUACAUGAUAUACACGCGCUUAUUUGUCUCCAAUAGGAAUUGAAUUCAAGUGGCAUCCAUGAAGCAAGCAGUUGACUCCGUGCACUUUCCAUGGUUGGACACCAUGGCAUUAGCUCAUUAAAUUUUUGUAUAUACUUCUCCAGAGACAAUACCUUGGUUCAGAUUUCGUUGUGUGCAACAAGAAAAUUUCCACGAUUAAGUUAAANUUUUUUUUUUUUUUUUUGUGCAUGGUAGCCCGAUUUGAAAUUUUGUAGCCCGAUCUUGAAUUCAAUCCCGGAUCCGUCCCUGACUAGCACUAUUAAAAGGUUAGCUAUAACUUCAAUAAUUU
rnacentral:lncRNA from 1 species